rnacentral:rRNA from 1 species
UGCCAGCCGCCGCGGUAAUACGGAAGGUCCUAGCGUUGUUCGGAAUUACUGGGCGUAAAGCGCAUGUAGGCGGAACAGAAAGUUAGAAGUGAAAUCCCUGGGCUCAACCUAGGAAUUGCUUUUAAAACUUCUGUUCUGGAAUUCAGGAGAGGAAAAUGGAAUAUCCAGUGUAGAGGUGAAAUUCGUAGAUAUUGGAUGGAACACCAGUGGCGAAGGCGAUUUUCUGGACUGAUAUUGACGCUGAGAUGCGAAGGCAUGGGUAGCAAACGGGAUUAGAUA